rnacentral:pre_miRNA from 1 species
GUGUGUGAAUGGUGUUCAGCACCAAGGACAGGUAUGUUUACAUGUGUGUGGAUAGUGUUCAGCACCAAGAACAAGCAAGUUCCCAU